CACCAGUGCUGCUGCUGUCUCCAAACAUCCCAUAAUAUCAUCAGUGCAGUAACAGGUCAAAGGACAAGGACGUUACAGGACGGACAGAUGGAAAAGUUUCCCCCACAGUUACCGUGGAAACGCAGACUUUUUGACAGGAACUUCGUGUGUCAAACGAAAACGCCCCUGGGAAAACCCCUUUUUUCCACCGUAACCGUGGCAACGCAGCAGCAGUGAGAUCAAGUGUUUGUGGUAAUGGAGGAUAAAAGCGUUUUAUAUAAUGGAGCGGAUUUAAAGAUAAACACCGCGCGCUGCGGGAGACGCCGCCGCUGUCUGUGACGUCAGGGACAAAAAGCAUCGAGGACACAGAGACACGAGCUGCACGGACACAUAAAUGGACCAUUUAGAAAAUGGAAGGUGGACGACAUGGUGAGACGCUGCUGCCCCCUGCUGUUCAUGGAGUUUGUUCAAGGAGUUUCACCUUUUUUAUAAAAAGGUGUUUUUGUCUCUGACGUCAAACAACCAAGGU